GGUGACCUUGCCUAUGGUCACACUGGGAAAUGGAGUUGUUAUAAUUUAAACCUUGGUUCGUCAGUAUGUGAUACUCCGCUACAACCUGCUGCCAUCUAAACAAAGCCUGCCUGAACUUCUGUGGCACUUGAGAACAAAGAUAGGAGCCUGGGAAAGGAAGCCCUGCUGGGUCAAAAACAACAAACUGGAAGACUACCUGUAUGGGGAGCAUGAUUAUUAUUCUUUCAUUAUUGGAAGAAUUCCACCUGUAUCAUGCUGAAAACUUUGGGGAGGACCUGAAAGUUAAGUGUGGACAUCUUUCCAAAAAAGGAAAAGGAUGG